AAAAGACAGAAUAAAUCAUUUUAAUUGCCAUCAAGUUAUUUCACAUAGUUAAGUUUCAAACCACAGUACAAAACCUGUCAGACUUUUAGAUUUGAAUACUGGGUUGUUCUGCUUCAAUAAUUGAACUUGUUCUGGAAUGCAAGGAAAGGUUUCAAAAAUUAGUUUUUAGCUUUUACAUUUCAGCUUCCAUUAAAGAAUUCUACUUAGACAACUGCAAAUACAUAUUUGUAAGAAAAGUGUGGUGUACUUUAGAUCUGAAUAGAAACCAUCAAGAAAAUGUAGUUAAAAAAAGACAAGUAGAAGUCCUAAAUGAUUUCUCUUCAUCAGAAGAUAUUGUUCCUUUGUAUGAUACUUUACAGUUAAUGAGGUUUCCACAUGCAUUAUCACAUCUGAUACUCAAAACUACCUUAUUUUAUCUACAGCUUUAUCUAGUUACAUUUUGAUUUUAUGCUUAGGUUGAUAAACAAUUCCUAUAAGAAAUAGCUAUGUGAAAUUCAUUUUUGUAUCUGCUGUAAAAAACAUUGAGGGCACCUUCUAUUACUCAAAUUCUAUGUGAGAAAUUUAUAUUUUAGGGUUAAGAACUCAAGGCAAUAUGAGGUAGAAUAAAGAGGGCUAGACUAAGAGUAAGGAGAUAUGUGUUCUAUCCAUUUAAUAUUCAAUAAUCUCAGGAACUUAAUUUAACUUCUUUUGACUAUAUAAAGUACUUGGAGCCUUAGGUUUUUUUAUGUGAUAUAAUGGGGGUACCAAUAUUGCCUUCUCAAUAAAGUUGCUGGGAUGAUCAAGUAAGAUAUAUAUACACAUGCUAAUAGCAUGUGUAUAAACAAGCAUGUGUGUACACAAACUUACAGCACAGUGUGGAGAAUUAAGGAAUUCUAAUAAUUACUAUAUUAAACGUGGUGUUUCCCUUUUUGCCCUGACUGCCAGGAAGCUCAGAGUCAAAUGUGACACAUUUGAAUUAAUAUAACUGUGUUAAUUCCAACAGUUGUCACAAGUGUUUUCUUUUUUCUUGAUCCUGAAUUUGGUGGCUCCUAUUUAUAUUCUUUUAUUGUCAUAUGUCGGUGGAAAGAGGAGGGAUUAGAAAUAUAUGUAAUAUUUUAGAAAUAAUUAAAGUAGUAUGUGGCAGAACUGGUAUUGAAAUUUAGGUCUUCUUUCUCUAAAAGUGAUAUUUUUACCGUAGCUUCAUUUUAAAUAAUUGGCAAAUGAUUUACAUUGUUGCAUUGAUUUUUUUGUUUUUUAAAUAAAAAUUAAAAUGAACUUCCA
rnacentral:lncRNA from 1 species